GACGAACGCUGGCGGCGUGCCUAAUACAUGCAGGUCGUGCGGACCUUGUUGAAAGCUUGCUUUUAAAAGGUUAGCGGCGGACGGGUGAGUAACACGUGGGCAACCUGCCUGUAAGACUGGGAUAACGCCUGGAAACCGGGGCUAAUACCAGAUCGUUUUUUCCUCCGCAUGGAGGAAAAAGGAAAGGCGGCUUCGGCUGCCACUUACAGAUGGGCCCGCGGCGCAUUAGCUAGUUGGCGGGGUAAUGGCCCACCAAGGCAACGAUGCGUAGCCGACCUGAGAGGGUGAUCGGCCACAUUGGGACUGAGACACGGCCCAAACUCCUACGGGAGGCAGCAGUAGGGAAUCUUCCGCAAUGGACGAAAGUCUGACGGAGCAACGCCGCGUGAGUGAAGAAGGCCUUCGGGUCGUAAAACUCUGUUGCCGGGGAAGAACAAGUGCCGUUCGAACAGGGCGGCGCCUUGACGGUACCCGGCCAGAAAGCCACGGCUAACUACGUG
rnacentral:rRNA from 1 species